AGAGGCUAAUGGUAGUACCCGGCACUAUUUGACCUAACUAUUCGUUGUAGGGCAUAUUAGGGAUGACACAAGAGGGAGGCUAGUGGUAGUACCUCGUGCCCUUUUCCAACUACAUCGGAUAGGGGGCAAAUAGAGCAUCAAAAUGUCUCUCUUUGGGUUGAGAGAUUUCUAACUUGUAACUUUUCUUUGUAUCAACCCACCCUUGGAAAAUUUGGAGGAGAUUGAGUGGUGUACAACCCAUUUUCAUAUUAAAAAAAGGAGGGCCGGAUCAUCCCUUGGGUGACGGCCAAAGGAGGUUUGGAGUUGUGAUUUGUGACGAAGGCUUGAAGCUUUAGAAGGAAGUUCGGCACACCUUAGCCGAACCAUUGAAGAUCUCUCCAACACCUGGGCCGAAAUAAGGAGAAAGAACAAAGUCCGCCUUGAGAGGUUGGGAAGGAGGCUAGGGGAAAGAGAAAGGGAGAGGAAGCAUGUGAGGUAUAGUGAAGAAGAGCCAUGGUCACAUGCCUCUCGGCAAAGCCUAGCAAGGGGAAGAAGGGAGAGUGAAGCCGGAAGCUUACAUGCUAACCGGUAUGAAGAGUUUGGGCAUCAUAAAAAUG
rnacentral:lncRNA from 1 species